AACGAACGCUGGCGGCAUGCCUAACACAUGCAAGUCGAACGAGACCUUCGGGUCUAGUGGCGCACGGGUGCGUAACGCGUGGGAACCUGCCCUUAGGUUCGGAAUCACUCCCCGAAAGGGGUGCUAAUACCGGAUAAUGUCUUCGGACCAAAGAUUUAUCGCCUUUGGAUGGGCCCGCGUUGGAUUCGCUAGUUGGUAGGGUACAAGCCUACCAAGGCGACGAUCCAGAGCUGGUCGGAGAGGAUGAUCCGCCACACUGGGACUGAGACACGGCCCAGACUCCUACGGGAGGCAGCAGUGGGGAAUAGUGGACGAGGGGCGAAAGCCUGAUCCAGCAAUGCCGCGUGAGUGAUGAAGGCCUUAGGGUUGUAAAGCUCUUUUACCCGGGAUGAUAAUGACAGUACCGGGAGAAUAAGCUCCGGCUAACUCCGUG
rnacentral:rRNA from 1 species